rnacentral:rRNA from 1 species
AUGGACACGGCGACGCUCGUUGCGGGCGGCGGCGGCGGACGUGAGCUGCAGCCGCGGGCGUCUGGAGGGAGCAUCGAGGGUGAGGUGGAGCAGCUUAGCACUGCCCUGGGAGACGGGAAGUCGGUGCCCACUGAGGCCGAGGGGAAUGGAAUCAAGAUCGUGCAACUCCGGCGGCUUCUCGAGGAGGAAGGCCGCGAUGUGGCUUCACGCGCCGACGCCCUCGUGAGCGAGCUGCAGCCGUGGUCGUCCGGCGGGGGGAUCGAGGGUAAGGUCCGGCAGCUUCACACCGCCCAGGAAGUCUUCAAGUUGGUGCUCGCUGAGGCCGAGGGCAAGCAGAUCGAAAACGUGGAGUUGGCCCGGUCUCUCAAGAAAUUCCGUCAGAUGGCCUCCCGCGCGGGCGACCUCGUGGGCGAGCUGGAGCACUACCGCAUCCAGGAAGAGCUUGAGCAAGAGGGGCACGAGGAUGAUGACCAUGAGAAGGAUAGUCGGGUGGAUGGAUCCCAGAGCCGCCUGAUUCUGGAGAACACGGAGUCGGCCGAGGUGUUUCAGGUUGGUCAAGAUACUGGAGAAGAUUGUGCUUUUUGCACAGAAGAUUCAUCUUCAGCCGCUCUUCAGAUUCUGCCCUAUGUUGCCAACUCUACGGUCCCUGCUAGCAACACUAGCCUGGAACCUCGUCUUGGCAUUUCACGUGAGAUAAAUGAACUCAUUCAGGCAUGCUGCAAAAUGGCCAAGAUUCUGCUCGAGGCUCUUGUGCCAGCAAAACUGGAUGACCUUUCCCGUAUUGUGCAGAAAAAUCAGAGCAUAGGAACCAAUCUUCGAGAGACGUCGUCUUUCCUCACUGAACCCAAAGUUUAUGGUAGGGACGAGGACCGGGAUCGGAUAAUAAGAAAGCUAACAAGUGAUGAAUCUGCUGGGCAAGACCUCUCCAUCCUUUGUAUCAUCGGUUAUGGAGGUGUUGGGAAGACUACUCUGGCCAAUGUGGUAUUCAAUGAUUCGGCUGUCUCAAAGCAUUUUCCUGUACGACUGUGGGUUUAUGUGUCUGCUCACUUUGACCAAGCUAAGAUUAUACGCAAAAUGUUGGAGUCCUUGACUGGGAACAAGCAUGAAGACAUCAAGAGUUUGAAGGACCUCCAGAGGACUCUGGAAUCUGAAGUGAAGUCAAAAAGGGUGCUUCUUAUUCUGGAUGACAUCUGGGAAGACAGCCAAAAGGAAAAAUGGGAUGAUCUGUUAACUCCACUACAGUCCAAUGGAGUCAAGGGAAACAAGAUACUUGUCACAACUCGGAAGCCUUCUGUUGAGAAAUUCAUGAGAGCGAAUGCUAAAAUUAAUCUGGAGGGUUUAGAUCCAGAUGACUUUUGGCAUUUGUUUACGGAAUGCGUUUUUGGAAAUGAGAACUACAAAGUACCUCCAAAACUGCAGAAAAUUGGGAAGGAGAUACUUGUCAAAUUAAAAGGCAAUCCUUUAGCAGCAAAAAGUCUGGGCAAAGUAUUGAGAAGGGAUCAUAAUCCUGAUUUCUGGGCAACUAUUCUGGAUAAUAAUGAAUGGAAGCACAGAACUGAUGACUAUGAUAUCAUGCCGGCCUUGAUGAUCAGCUACAAAUAUUUGCCAGAGCACCUCCAGCAGUGCUUCUCGUACUGUUCUUUGUUCCCCAAGUAUCAUAGGUAUGAGAAAAAACGUCUGGUCAAUAUUUGGAUAGCCCAGGAUUUGGUAUCUUCCACUGAUGUACGGCUGGAGGAAGUUGGAGGUCAGUUCUUCCAUGAUCUAGUCGAGUGGGGAUUUUUCCAAAAGGAAUUUGAAUUUGGAGACUUACACAUCAUGCAUGAUCUCAUUCAUGAUUUGGCACAGAAAGUUUCGUCGGACGACACGUACACUAUAGAGAACAGUGAGCAUAAAGAAGCACCCUGGCUUGUUCGUCAUGUCAGUGUAAUCACAGCAAGGGAGUACACGUCUCAAGUAGAUGGAACGGUGCUUCUUAAUGAGCCUUUUGUGCAAGAGUUUGCCAAUUCAUUCGGCAAAUUGAAACAAAGUAAAUUAAGCACAUUUAUGCUAUUUGGACCGCUUGACUUGGCUAUUGGAAACACAAUUCGUCAAGAAUUCAGUGAGGUGAACUCGGUUCGUGUGUUGACAUUGGAGAUGGCAGUCUUUGAUUUAGAUUUAGUGAUAGUAAACAUCUCAGCAUUUGUCAAUCUUCGCUAUCUGGAGUUGAGCUGCUUUUAUAAGGGACCCAGGUUAGAACUGCCAGAGGCAAUAUGUAGCCUAUCUCAUCUGCAAGUCCUGGAUAUAAUGAAGAACUGGGGAGAUAGCACAGUUUUACCGAGAGGCAUGAACAAGCUUGGUAAGUUGCGCCAUUUUAUUGCCAGAGAUGAGUUGCAUGCAAAAAUAGCAGGUGUUGGGAAGAUGGUUUCCCUUCAAGAGCUCAAGACAUUUUGUGUUCGAAAGGCAAGUGAGUUCAGCAUAAUACAACUCAAAAGAUUGAAUCAACUCAGAGAAUCAAUUAGAAUUUGCAAUCUUAAAGAUGUAGGAAGCCAAGAGGAGGCUGCGGAAGCAAGGAUAUGUGACAAGGUCCACCUCACUACUCUGCACCUAUCAUGGAGUGGUGUGAAUGGGCAAAACGUUGGUUUUUCAAGUAACUGUUCUAUCCUCGAGGAUCUCCAGCCACAUGCUGGCCUUGUAAAUCUUAAAAUCGAAGCAUACAGAUAUCCUUCACCGUCAUGGCUCAGCAACAAUAUUCAUCUCACCUCAUUGCGGUCACUCCAUCUGGAUAACUGCAAAAAAUGGUGCACAAUUCCAGAACCCAAGCACUUGCCUCUGCUCCGAGAGCUAGAUUUGCGUCAUAUGCCUCGUGUUCGUGAAAUCGUGAUUGGUCGUUUGGAGAUUCUGGUAUUAUACUACUUGCCAUGUUUGAGGCGCUGCGCAGUUUUGAACGAGGAACAGUUAUCUGAGAGUCUACAGGUUCUCAAAGUUGAGAAUUGUGAUCGAUUGGUAGAGUUUCCCUUGCCGGUACUGCAAGACUUCCAGUUUACUAGUCUUCACCGGCUUGUCGUUCAUAUGUACUUUUGCUUCAGACACACUAACAUCCCUCAGCUUCUGCGCAUGGAUUCUCUAAAGCAUGUAGAUUUGUGGUUGCAACCAUCUUGCCAGGAAUUUCAACUACGAUUAGGCCCAUCAAAUGCGCUCCGCAUGCAAAUCAUAGGAAGUCAUUCUCAACCUGUUCUGAGAAUAGAGGAAAGUUUGUUCGGGUUUGACAAACUAAAAAAUUUGGUGGAGCUUGAAAUCACAACGUAUCCACAUCUGACAUACCUGCCAUGGGAGGGCUUGCAACACUUGACAUCGUUGAAAAGGUUCAAAAUGAUAGUGUGCAGCAAACUGUUUUCUAAUAAUGUUGAGUUCAUUCUGCCACCAUCAGUUGAAGAACUCGAGUUCCAUUCCUGCAAUAUUACGGAGCAACAUCUGUCGCAACUCCUGCUGAACCUUCCAUCACUCAAGAAACUUGUCAUAACUAACUGUGAAGAGGUAACGUCCUUACCUGUAGGGCUGUUUACAGAUGAACACAGCCAAAUGCCAGAAGGCUCGUGGCACAUUGCUUCCAAUUGUUUGCCGAGUCUUGAGAGGUUGCAGAUCACCUUCCCAGAGGGUAGUAGUGUAAUUGCGGCGAUGCAUUUUUCAAACCGGAAGGGCUUUGGAAGAUUUGUCUCUCUCAGGGAAGUCAUCAUUGAAAAUUGUCCUACUCCCCUAUCCACUAUGGUUUCAGGAAGAGCAUCUAAAGUCCCUCCACCUUCUCUAGUAAAACUCAUUGUGACUGACAUCGAGGACAGCUGUCUGCAGUUUUCACAACUCUCUUGCCUUGUUGAAUUACAAGUCUUGCGAUGUUCGUCUUUGACAAGCGUCAACCUGGAUUCUUGCACCGCAUUACAAGACCUCAAGAUUGAAGGAUGUAAAUUGCUAUCGUCAAUUGAAGGUUUGCAAUCAUGUAAAACGUUGCGGCAUUUGAGCAUCCACGGUAGUGAAGCGCUACUAUCACUCGGAGCAUCGCUUAGCACCCUGACAACAGUGAGUAUAGAGAAGAAUCCAAAUUUGGCAUGUCUUGACCUGCACACAUGUACAGCACUGCAGAAACUACGCAUCGAAGGCUGUGCUACAAUGGCUUCUUUUGAAGGUAUUAAAUCCCUUGUUGGUCUGAAGGAGUUGAGAGUUGAGAACUCUCCAGGCUUCAUAAGGUCAUGGAUUUCAGCAGCAGCGGAAGUUGAGAGCGAGGACAGCUACUUCAUGGGAACACUUCAGGUGCUUGAUAUUGAUGACAUUAGUGUCCUAUGUAUGCCCAUAUGCUGCCAGUUAACUUCUCUGAAGACACUGACCAUUGAUGGAGCCCGUACGGUGGGCGUAUUGACGGAUGACCAUGAGAAAGCGCUUCUACUUCUCACCUCCUUGAGACAUCUUGAACUCAACAACUUUAAGCAUCUCAGGUCACUGCCGGCUGAAUUCCAGUCCCUUGCAUCACUGGAAAGAUUUACUCUUGUCAAUUGUGAGCGUAUCACUUCCUUGCCCGUGGGGGGUCUCCCGGCUUCGCUGAAGGACAUGGAUCUGAAAGGCUGCAGUAAAGAGCUAAAUGCAUCGUGCAUAGAAAAUUAUCAAGCUCGAAGGUUGCAUCUAUGGGUUGACGGAACCGCAUAUGAAUAA